UAUAUAUUUCUCACAAUUGCAUAUGUAUAAGUUCAUAAUUGCAUAUGUACUAAAAAUAGAACCGCCCAUCUCGUUUAUUUGAAAAACAAUUAAUACAGGAACUUGAUCCACCCCUAUGACGAGAUAUGUGCGAUAUUUAUAAAAUGGGAUGAAAUAAACUUGUAAAAUACCUGAAUUCAUUGGCAAGUUCAGGCAACGUUACUUAACGACAGAUACCUUCGCUGAUACAAAUAUUCUGCAUGAGCAUGAAUAAGCAUAAUGGAUUAUCGGAAGCCCCAUUUGAAGAUUAUGCUAGGUAUAACCUAUAAGUUUCAGCCUUUUACGAAGAGAAAUAUGUUUCGUACAACAUAUGUGGUAUUGUUGUCGAAAUUGUGCCACGAUACAAAACAAUAACAU